AGCGAACGCUGGCGGCAGGCCUAACACAUGCAAGUCGAACGAACCCUUCGGGGUUAGUGGCGGACGGGUGAGUAACACGUGGGAACGUGCCUUUAGGUUCGGAAUAACUCAGGGAAACUUGUGCUAAUACCGAAUGUGCCCUUCGGGGGAAAGAUUUAUCGCCUUUAGAGCGGCCCGCGUCUGAUUAGCUAGUUGGUGAGGUAAUGGCUCACCAAGGCUACGAACAGUAGCUGGUCUGAGAGGGUGACCGGUCACACGGGGACUGAGACACGGCCCAGACUCCUACGGGAGGCAGCAGUGGGGAAUAUUGGACAUGGGCGGAAGCCUGAUCCAGCAACGCCGCGUGAGUGAUGAAGGCCUUAGGGUUGUAAAGCUCUUUCAGUGGGGACGAUAAUGACGGUACCCACAGAAGAAGCCCCGGCUAACUUCGUGCCAGCCGCCGCUGUAACAC
rnacentral:rRNA from 1 species